UGCCGGGGUGGCUGAGCGGACCAAGGCGCCGGCCUUGAGAGCCGGUAUCCCAUCCGGGGUGCAAGGGUUCAAAUCCCUUCCCCGGCGU
rnacentral:tRNA from 1 species